rnacentral:rRNA from 1 species
UACGUAGGAUGCAAGCGUUGUCCGGAUUUAUGGGGUUUAAAGGGUGCGUUGGCGGCCUAUUAAGUUAGUGGUUAAAACGUUCGGCUUAACCGGAUACCCGCCAUUGAUACUGAUAGACUUGAGUGCGACAGAGGGUGUUGGAAUGUGUGGUGUAGCGGUGAAAUGCUUAGAUAUCACGCAGAACACCAAUUGCGAAGGCAGAUGCCUAUGUCGUAACUGACGCUGAGGCACGAAAGCGUGGGGAGCAAACAGG